UACGGGGGGGGCAAGCGUUGUUCGGAAUUACUGGGCGUAAAGGGCUCGUAGGUGGCCAACUAAGUCAGACGUGAAAUCCCUCGGCUUAACCGGGGAACUGCAUCUGAUACUGGAUGGCUUGAGUUUGGGAGAGGGAUGCGGAAUUCCAGGUGUAGCGGUGAAAUGCGUAGAUAUCAGGAGGAACACCGGUGGCGAAGGCGGGUCUCUGGGCCGAUAUCGACGCUGAGGAGCGAAAGCGUGGGGAGCGAACAGG
rnacentral:rRNA from 1 species